UCCCUGGUGGCUCAGAUGGUAAAGCGUCUGCCUGCAAUGCACAAGAUCCAGGUUCAAUCCCUGGGUUGGGAA
rnacentral:tRNA from 1 species